rnacentral:rRNA from 1 species
UACGGAGGGUGCAAGCGUUAAUCGGAAUUACUGGGCGUAAAGCGCACGCAGGUGGCUGAGUCAGUCGAUUGUGAAAGCCCUGGGCUUAACCCUGGGAAUUGCAGUCGAUACUACUCAGCUAGAGUAUGGGAGAGGGUAGUGGAAUUCCCGGUGUAGCGGUGAAAUGCGUAGAUAUCAGGAAGAACACCCGUGGCGAAAGCGGCUCUCUGGAACGGUACUGACGCUGAGACGCGAAAGCGUGGGGAGCAAACAGG